AUUGACCGCUGGCGGCAGGCCUAACACAUGCAAGUCGAGCGAGCGGCGGACGGGUGAGUAAUGCCUGGGAAUUGCCCAGUCGAGGGGGAUAACAGUUGGACACGACUGCUAAUACCGCAUACGAUUGGAUUGCCCAGGUGGGAUUAGCUAGUUGGUGAGGUAAUGGCUCACCAAGGCAACGAUCCCUAGCUGGUGUGUGAGAAGGAUCAGCCACUGUGGAACGUAGACACGAUCCAUACUACUACGGGAGGCAGCAGUUGAGAAUAUUGCAAAAUGGGGUAAACCCGGAUGCAGCCAUGCCGGGUGUUUGAAGAAGGCCUUCGGGUUGUACAGCGGUUUCAGCGAGGAGGCGUUGCUCGCAGAAGAUGCACCGGCUAACUCCGUGCCAGCCGCCGCGGUAAUAG
rnacentral:rRNA from 1 species